AUACGUAUGUCGCAAGCGUUAUCCGGAUUUAUUGGGCGUAAAGCGCGUCUAGGCGGCUUAGUAAGUCUGAUGUGAAAAUGCGGGGCUCAACCCCGUAUUGCGUUGGAAACUGCUAAACUAGAGUACUGGAGAGGUAGGCGGAACUACAAGUGUAGAGGUGAAAUUCGUAGAUAUUUGUAGGAAUGCCGAUGGGGAAGCCAGCCUACUGGACAGAUACUGACGCUAAAGCGCGAAAGCGUGGGUAGCAAACAGGAUUAGAUACCCUGGUAGUCCACGCCGUAAACGAUGAUUACUAGGUGUUGGGGGUCGAACCUCAGCGCCCAAGCUAACGCGAUAAGUAAUCCGCCUGAGGAGUACGUACGCAAGUAUGAAACUCAAAUGAAUUGGCGGGG
rnacentral:rRNA from 1 species